CAAUAUUGGUGCUUGGGGUGGUGGCGACGUUGGGUGACAGCGACGAAGGAAAACUUCUUUUUCCUCUUCUCUGUUAACAUACGUGAGAGGAAAAUAGGAAGUUGGGGUUACAUGGUAAAAUAGGUUGAUGAUUAUUUUUUUUUUAAUUCUCUAUCCACUCCUCUUUUUAUAAACUGUGCUUAAUGCUAGACGAGCCCGUUAUUUUUGGGUGAGUAGUGGAGUGGGUGGUGGGGUAAUGGGUGGUUAAUAAAUAGUGGAGUAAUGGGAUAGUUAAUAGAUAGUGAAAUAAUGAUGAGUUUGGGGAGUUUGUUUUAGACUUGAACGGGUUCAUGAAAUGAGAUAAUACUGAGUAGUGGGAAGUUGUCAGGAUUUUUUUUUUAACCUUUCUCUUUUGCCAAGCCCAACAUUAAUUGAAUAUGGAUCAAAAUCUGUUAUAAUGAAAGGUGCCUCCUAUUAAUAAUUUAUACAUGAACCUAAAUAUUGGCCUAAUAAAAUAUAUCUUACAUGUAUCUUGUUCGUAUGUCGUCUUUAUGGGCUAGCUCAAAAUUUGGCCCAAUAAGUAGUUUUCAUCUCUAAUAUUCUGUAAGGGGUCCAAAAUUAGGUAUAAUAAAAUGUCUCUUUUUUUAUUUUUUAUUUUUCAUCUUUUGAAAGGCUGAUUCAAAAGUGGUUCAACACUAGUCAUAAUUUAUAAAAAAUUACAAAGAAUAUUGACAUAUGCCGACUACAGGGUACUCAAAAGAAAAAAAUUUAAAAUGCUUGCUGACGUGAUGUUUUCAAUCAAUAGGAUUAUUUUUUUGAAUUCACCUGCCUCAUCAUAAUUAAUAAAAAUUAUUUUUAUUAUAUUAUUUUUUAAAAAUAUAUAAUUAAUUUGUUAUUGAUGAUUUAAUGCAAAUGUGAUACAGUAUAUUUUUUUCCUCGGUAUAUCAAGCAAAU
rnacentral:lncRNA from 1 species